rnacentral:misc_RNA from 1 species
GGGCCUGAUCGCGUUACAGAAUUCUGCAAGAGAAACAAAUUACAGCUCAUAAUAAGAGCCCACGAAUGUGUCAUGGACGGAUUUGAACGGUUUGCUCAGGGACAAUUAAUCACUUUAUUCUCUGCCACUAACUAUUGUGGAACUGCAAACAAUGCUGGUGCCAUAUUGGUUAUUGGGAGGGGUCUGGUCGUGGUCCCAAAGUUGAUCCAUC